CACGUAGGCACCAAGCGUUGUCCGGAUUUAUUGGGCGUAAAGAGCUCGUAGGCGGUUCAGUAAGUCGGGUGUGAAAACUCUGGGCUCAACCCAGAGACGCCACCCGAUACUGCUGUGACUUGAGUACGGUAGGGGAGUGGGGAAUUCCCAGUGUAGCGGUGAAAUGCGUAGAGAUUGGGAAGAACAUCGGUGGCGAAAGCGCUCUACUGGACCUCAUCUGACACUCAGGGACGAAAGCUAGGGGAGCGAAUGGG
rnacentral:rRNA from 1 species